rnacentral:rRNA from 1 species
UGGGGAAUAUUGGACAAUGGGCGAAAGCCUGAUCCAGCCAUGCCGCGUGUGUGAAGAAGGUCUUCGGAUUGUAAAGCACUUUAAGUUGGGAGGAAGGGCAUUAACCUAAUACGUUAGUGUUUUGACGUUACCGACAGAAUAAGCACCGGCUAACUCUGUGCCAGCAGCUGCGGUAAUACAGAGGGUGCAAGCGUUAAUCGGAAUUACUGGGCGUAAAGCGCGCGUAGGUGGUUUGUUAAGUUGGAUGUGAAAUCCCCGGGCUCAACCUGGGAACUGCAUUCAAAACUGACUGACUAGAGUAUGGUAGAGGGUGGUGGAAUUUCCUGUGUAGCGGUGAAAUGCGUAGAUAUAGGAAGGAACGCCAGUGGCGAAGGCGACCACCUGGACUAAUACUGACACUGAGGUGCGAAAGCGUGGGGAGCAAACA